UGUACCUUCAACCGAAUUAUUGAUUUACAUGUAUUAUCUAUGGGAAACCAUUUCCAGUGGAAGAUUACUAGCCAGGUCAUUUGAUGCGAUUCUUUUAGAUUCUUUCACCUCCAUGCGCAUUUUCUAACUUUCCCCUUAAUCCAGGUAUUUUUUUGUUCAUUUUUGUCAUUUUCUGUUGCAGGAAAGCCAUAUCAGCAAAAAAAGGAGGAGGUUCAAAAUCAAGCCAGAUAAAGAGGCUAAUCACUGUUGGGGACUCUGAAGAGGAGGAAGUUGUACCUCGGAAGCUAAAGAAAUCUGCCAAGCCGAUGGAAACAAAAACAAGCAAGGAGGUUGUGCACGUUAAGGAGAGCCCAGUAAAGCCUAGAGAAACUCCACAGAAACUGACGUCUGCUCUUGACUUCUUUGGUUCAGCUCCUGCAGAAAGAGAAUCACGAAAAGUUGUUGCUACAAAGAGGAAACAGAGAUCUGACAAGCCAGAAGAAAAUGGGGGAACACUUGCAAAUGAAGACGAGGAGUCACUACAUGAAAAAGAGAAGAGACAGAAGGAAAAUAAAAAUCCGAAUGGGUGAGCAACAGAACAGCCAUCCAAGAGAGGAAAAGAAGACUCAUCUAUGUAUCCCACAUCUUGAAGUAAAAAAAGCCAUCUCCGGAAAAGAAGGAAUCAGAAGAAAUCAGUUCUGGGGUUUCCAAGGUUAUGAAAGUGAUGGAGGGGUAUGACUUGACAAAAGAGGACUGGGAUUCUAUCAUAGGGGUUGGCCAGUUUGAAGGACAGAGAGAUCCUGUUGCUUCUAUUCCAUCAAAGGUUAAAGCAGCUUUUGUGCGGACUUACAUGUACAACAAGGAAAGUCGCAAGACACCUUACACCAUUCGUGCAGCAGUAAAGAAGGGAAGGAGGGAUGGGGCAGAGGACAGCAAGACAAUGGAGGAAGAGAGCUAUGCACUUGAAGAAUCUGAACAGCAGGUGGAAGAUAAAGAUGAAUAUAAUGUAUUGAAAAUAGUGCCAUGAUCGAGGCAACAAAGAGAAAAAAGCAAAGGAAGGUACCUGAACAGAAGUGCCCACAACUAAGCUAGGGAAAAGUGAAAGGAAAAAAUAGGACAUGAAUGAAAAUAAUUGCAAGAACCACUUGCAUUGAAGCAAUCAAAUGACUGCUAAUAAACUGAAGCCUAUUGGCGGCAUGUGACAAAAUGGAAAGUAGACAUAAUGGAGAGGGGAAAGUCUUGGCGUGGACUGGCUUUUUAUUUUUUUGCACCGUGCAACCACCAUCAAGUUAUUCCUACACAAGUGUUCAAUCAUUGAACAUGAGUUAACUGUCUGCAAGGAGGAAAAAGUUUCUACCCCAUCCAUUUAACCUACACGUAUCUCGCCCAUCACUGAAUACUACAUGUAAGUGGCCGAUUUUUCGUGUAAAAGAGUAACCUUGUAACACAAGUUGCUUACCAUCUGUAUCUUCCACAUACACGUACCAAUGUGUUUGAUCUUAGAAACCCCAUAUCAAACUAACAAAUAGAAGCAGUUUUGUCUUGACAACAAGUGACUUGAUAAACAGUAAAGGUGUACUUUGCAGCCAACCUUACAUGUAACUCUGCUGACACUAAAAAGAUUCUGAAAACAACCUCUGACAAAACAUAACUAAGAACAUAAAUGUGGUAAAGGAAACAAGGAAAACGAGUCUAUUAUAAAAGUUUGUUUCUGUAGUCACAAUUCUUUCACUACUGUCAGUAGUGAAGCAAAAUGAGAAUAAUUAUUGUGAAGAACAUAUAACAUGUGCAUCAACAAACAGUUAUUAUUUCCGAUAUCUGUUGUGUUCAUGUCGGUAUGGAAACUGGGUGUGGUGGCUAAAACAGAAAUGAGAACACUGCAAUUUAAAGUACAUGUAAAAAAAGUGUUAUCACCAACAAAUCAAUAAGGGUGAUUUAAUCCUUAUCAAGCACAAAUCAGUAAGAGUAAUAAUUUUUGACACCAAAAUAUAACUAUGGGUUAUCUAUUUUUGCUUAAGAAUCAAUAUGCUAAAUAUUUACUGCCACAGAAAUAUUUACUGCCAACAAGACAUAAAAUGGUAUUUUUGAUAAAUACCUAAAUGUAAAUAUGGAUAAUCUAUCCCUGCCAAAUUAUCAAAAUGCGAAAUCCUUACCGGCAAUGAAUCAAUAAUGGUAACAGAUCAAUGAGGGUAAUCUCGAUCAAAGAGCAAUCUUUUCAACAAAUGGAUCGAGAAGGGUAGUCUUUUCCAUGAAUGUGGAUAACCUUACUGCUAGUAACAUAUCAAUAAGGGUAAUCUUUACCACUGACAAAUUAAUAAGAGUAUUCUUUACCAUCAGCCAAUCAAUAACAGUAACCUUAACUGUUAACCAAUUGGUAAGGGUAACUCAUAACCAACCAAUCAACAUGGGUAAUCUUGGGUAAUGGGUAGUGCCCACAAUGAUAAUAUUAAUAAUUUACUGCCAACAAAUAAAUUUGGAUAAUCUUUACCACCACUCGAGCAAUAUCAGUAAACUUAUGGCAAAUUUACAAGUCAUGUAUCAAUAAUAGUAAUCUCGACCACAAAAGUCAAGGGGAAAUAUUCCCCACCAACCAAUCAUUAAGGUUAACCUUUACCACCAACCAAUCAUUAAGGUUAUUCCUUACCACCACCCGAUCAGUAAGGAUACAAGUAGUCUUUAACACCAGCCAAUCAACAAGGGUAAUACAACUAUUCACCACAAACAGAUCAUUGAGAGUAAUCUUUAUCACCAACUGAUCAAUAAGGGUAAUCCUUAUUACCAAUUGAUCAAUAAGGGUAGUCUUUAUCACCAACUGUUCAAUGAGGGUAAUCUUUAUCACCAACCGAUCAAUAAGGGUAGUCUUUAUCACCAACCGAUCA